CUAUGUUCCUGAAACCAUUUUUAUUCUUGGGAUGCAAAUGGAUCUGUCAUCAAGACAACUUCAGUCCAGUAAGAGAGACAGCAGGAGCAGUUCACUGUUUCAAAGGUCAGAUAGAAUAUCACAUUGGAUGUGCAGCUUGAGAUAUGAAUAAGACUGCCUGGAAUACAAGAAGGGAGGAGGGCAUAUUCGAGGAACGAAGAACAGAAUGUGUAAAGACCCGUAAGCAUGAAAGACUCCAGUGCAGCUUCAGUAUGAAAAACUCUGGGAAGGAAUUCUUGCUGACCUGUUUUGCAUCAGAUAUAGUCAUGCUGGACAAGGAGAGAGAAAAGGGCAGACUGUUUUGGAAAACUUUUCAAAGAAGCAAUUCACAGAAUAAGUAGAUGCCAUUCAAGAUAAGCAAAUCGGCCCCCACGAAGACUGAAUUGCAGAUCUGUGUGCCUGAGUUCCAACCAAUUAAAUGUGUG
rnacentral:lncRNA from 13 species